rnacentral:rRNA from 1 species
AAGUUAAACGGCCGCGGUACCCUAACCGUGCGAAGGUAGCGCAAUCACUUGUUCUUUAAAUGAGGACUAGUAUGAACGGCAUCACGAAGGUUAUACUGUCUCCUUCCUCCAAUCAGUGAAACUGACCCCCCCGUGAAGAGGCGGGGAUAAAAAUAUAAGACGAGAAGACCCCAUGGAGCUUUAAACUCAGCAUCAAUUGCCCAACUCAAAUAUCAUUUUAAAUCAGCAAACCUGACAGCUAGUUUUCGGUUGGGGUGACCACGGAGCAAAACAAAACCUCCAUGAUGAAAGGACAAACUUCCUAAUCUAAGAGCUACAACUCAAAGAAUCAAUAAACUGACAUAACUUGAUCCAAUUAACUUUGAUCAACGAACCAAGUUACCCUGGGGAUAACAGCGCAAUCCACUUCAAGAGCCCCUAUCGACAAGUGGGUUUACGACCUCGAUGUUGGAUCAGGGUAUCCCAGUGGUGCAGCCGCUACUAAUGGUUCGUUUGUUCAACGAUUAA